GGGCCUGUAGCUCAGCUGGUUAGAGCAUGCGCUUGAUAAGCGCAGGGUCAAAGGUUCAAAUCCUUUCAGGCCCA
rnacentral:tRNA from 2 species